rnacentral:rRNA from 1 species
AUUGAACGCUGGCGGCAGGCCUAACACAUGCAAGUCGAACGAGUGGCGGACGGGUGAGUAAUGUCUGGGAAACUGCCUGAUGGAGGGGGAUCAACACUGGAAACGGUAGCUAAUACCGCAUACCAUCAGAUGUGCCCAGAUGGGUUUGGCUAGUUGGUGGGGUAAAGGCUCACCAAGGCGACGCGCCCUAGCUGGUCUGAGAGGAUGACCAGCCACACUGGAACGGAGACACGGUCCAGACUCCUACGGGAGGCAGCAGUGGGGAAUAUUGCACAAUGGGCGCAAGCCUGAUGCAGCCAUGCCGCGUGUAUGAAGAAGGCCUUCGGGUUGUAAAGCACUUUCAGCGGGGAGGCGUUACCCGCAGAAGAAGCACCGGCUAACUCCGUGCCAGCAGCCGCGGUAAUAC